UACAGAGGUGGCAAGCGUUGUUCGGAAUUACUGGGCGUAAAGGGCGCGUAGGCGGUCUUGUAAGUCUCGUGUGAAAUCCCUCGGCUUAACUGAGGAACUGCACGGGAUACUGCUUGACUUGAGUUCGGGAGAGGGAUGCGGAAUUCCAGGUGUAGCGGUGAAAUGCGUAGAUAUCUGGAGGAACACCGGUGGCGAAGGCGGCAUCCUGGACCGACACUGACGCUGAGGAGCGAAAGCCAGGGGAGCAAACGGG
rnacentral:rRNA from 1 species